ACAUCUGAGUCCUAUUUCCAGUUUGCUAUAAGGUCCUGCAAGCCUGGGCACGUACCGUGAUCUUUGUAUGUCCCACUUCUUCUUUUCGAGAGUCUGGAUGCUAGAAUUUGGGAGACAAAACUAAGGAACCCAAGUUUUCCAACCUAAGUUUUCCAAGCAAGGCUUAAGGGACAUUUUGAAGUAUAAAAAUGCUUGUGCCUGGACGAAGCAGUUUUCAGAAGUGCCUAAUAAAAUUACUUAGAAAGUGGGCACAGAGACCUAUUAGUGCACAAGUUUAACAGAGAUUAGAUGCAACACAAUCACCUGCUCGACAACCAUUUUCAAAGAGAAAAUGGUUUGCCCCCAUUUGUCCACAAAACAGGUAAGGACACAAUCAUGAAUGUGAUUAAGUGUGGUACCAAGCGUGGAUCAUAUGCUCAAUAUCAAGUAAUUCUUUCUUUAAUCAAUUCUCUCACCUUCAUUCACUUUAACACUGCAAGCCUGUCCUGUCUUGCUGCACUAAAUGUUGUGAAAACUCAUUACAGAGGACUAUUUGUCCUCCAAAUUCAUAAUACAACAGUAAGUAUUAAAUACACUUGUGAUACAAUCUCUAAGUUAUUAUAUACCACAAAGUUUUUUCUUCAUCUAUGAGUUUAAUAGAAGUUAUUAAAAAAGGCUGAAAAUUGCUUUUUCCUGAAAUAGCUUGUUUAUGCCAAAUGUCAUUCUAUUUAGCUCAGACUCCACAAGGACACUUUGCCUCAAUCUCCUUUGCAUUUCUGAACACUUGUCCAUAUCUGCAGGUAAAUAUUUCAGUUACACAAAAAGACAGCAAAACCACGUUAAGUUUCUACAUUUCUUGUAGUGGUUCACCAGAAUUUUAAAAGAAUUAAGAGACUGUGCAUUAAGAAAGUUUUCACUGAAAAAAGUACUUUAAGAAGUCUUUGGCUGCAAUUCUUAGUGUCUUGAGACUUACUGAUCAUUUCCUUCCUACAGCAAAAGGGCUCUCAAAAGAGUAGUUUUAUUGUGGAACUAUUUGCAUAUACAACUACAGCAUGCCAAAACUAUGCGUUUGAGCACUGCCACAAGCCUUGAUCAGGUUCUCACUGUAUGGUUCAGAGAUGAGAGUUAAAUCAGGAAACUUCUCCUGCAGCAGCGUCUCCAUUCUAAAACACCACAUUUCAUCACGAAAUAGAAGAGCAUGCCACAGUCCUGUCCAAGAAUACACUGUGCCAAUGUUCUAACAUUGCUGCAGGAAUUGGUUGCUCUUCCUAAGCUUUUCAAUAAGGUUUGAACACCAUCUAGCAAUGGAGUUACGGCUUUCCAAUUACAGAAAAUUUCACAAUUGCUCUUGAAGUUCAAGCAUGCUAGAAAUACUUAGAAUUGGCCCUACACAGAUAUAAAUUGGUCUGAGCUUUGAGAUGGGCUCCACAUUACAGAUCAGCCUGCAGAACCAGGAUUUACUUAGUACUAAAAAAAGUGUUCCCUUGCUUUCAAGACCUCAACAGGUAACUGAGACACUGGGAACCAUGUCAGAGGCUACCCACACCUGCAGCACUCAAGGCAUGAAUCGCUCAGACAACCUGAGCACCCACAGAAAUGCUGCUAGGGCACCCCAUCCCACCUGCAGUGUUAUUGCUGGCCAUCCAGGUUUCUCCCUACUUCUCUCCCUUGCCCAGAAAUGCCACCUGAACACAAUGCAAGCAUUGGCAGGGACUCCCCCAGGCUGUGCAGAUGCCCAGCAGCCAAGGCAGUCCUUGAGCCAUAAAGCAGGCUCUGUCCACCUCUAACUACGUUUCCCCCAGCCAUGCCCUGAAAACUGUCCCUGCUUUAUGUAUGAUGCAGUGGAAGAGCUCACAGCACACCCAGGAAGAGUGACUGGUGAUCCCAUUCUGACCCCCCCACCACUGGAUCCCAUCUCACAGGUAUUACAAGAGAAAAACUUGAUCUCACUGAGGUCCACAGCACUCAUUAAUGCUACCCUGAGGAGGGACAGCUGGGGCCACAGCAGUUUUUGUAUGAAGUUGAAGUGCACCCCUAGAGGAAAAAACAAGACUGCUCUGUAGUCUGCAUGGCCAUGCUACAUUAAACUACCAAAUGGAGAAUUAAGCUCUUCACAAAUUAGAAUUACUCCUACUGGAUAGGCUACAAUAAUUUCAGAGAAAUAAAUACCUAUUUUAAGGGGAAUUUGACAAUUAAGAUGUGUUGGGUUAAUGGCAUUUAACAGGUUUUUCAGUGUGAUCUAAUGAAUUUUGAAAUACAGUCUCAGGUUUUGCUGUAGAGAUGGCUCAACCUCAGCAGAUCCCAAGAUAAAAAUCUUUUAGGGGCAUUAUGUACUUAGCUGACACAAAUAACAUUUUAAUUACAGUUAAUAAGAGUCAGAUUUUGUUUUGAAUUCCAUGAUGUCAAACCUGGCAUGCUCCUUUAAGGAGUCUGUACAGAGAGCACAAUAGAUUUUUCUGUAACUCAUCUAGACUUUUUUUGCUCAUGUCAGUUUGACCUUGAAGAGAACAUGAUGUCCUUCGAGAUUCUUAUUUUAAAGAAAGUCACACUCAAGGCCAACAACUCUUUCACUACAGAGACCUCUAUCUUUAGCUGGUGAAAUCUGUUGCUUUAACAUGGAUUAAAGACAGCAUUCCUUGUGCUCCCAGUUUGCAAUACAACACAAAUACAACUGAGCUCUGACUUCAGAAGCAUCACCACCACUAUGCCCCAUGCUAGAAUUUCUUGUAUGAGUGUUGGGAAUCUGAUAAGAUAGGCUAUUAAACACAGCAAGGGGAUGCAAAUCUGAACAAGCUGAUUUAAGGCCUGGUCUUUUAAUUAGAAAGAAACAAGUCUCAGGUUACUACAGUUUGAAUAGUCCAAUUGAUUUCGGCAAGCAUUUUUAUGCAUUAUCCGUUAUUAAACUAUCUGCAAAUUGGGGCCAUUACACUAACAAUCAAUUGUAACUGCUGUCAGUUAAUUCAUUACAUUUGCCCACAUGUAACAUCUGUUGUUUUUAUUGAUACCAUAAGCUGUCCUUCAGAUUUCAUUAUCCUGCAGCAGUUUAGCAGAUAGCCAUGAAUACUGCCGUAACCUGACUAGGAUUUCCUUAAUUCCACUGAAGUAUUUGGUGAAAUGAGGCUGACAAUAAUAUUUUCCUACCAUUACUGUUCCGUGGAACUGUGAGCAAUGUAAAAGAGGAGUUCAGAAAAUCCACAGGUCCAAGUUUCUCUAUGUACUAUGUUAUUCAAAUGCACAUAGGUGCUUUUGUUUACCUGAUCCAGAAAGCAAAUACAUAAAACUCAAGCUCAGUAGGGAUAUUUAUCUAAGAUAAAUAGCUGAUAAUUUGUGUUUGAGUUACAGCAUCUUUUAGAGAGAGAUUCAGUCAUAGCUUGAAUACUCUACAUGUUGAAGAAACUACCACGUGUCUAGGGAAGUUGCUCCAGUCAUAACUAUCCUUGCUAAUAAGAGACUCCCUUGUUUCUAGUCCGAAUUAACAUAGCUUCGCUUUUUGUCAUUGGAUUUGUGUCUUUUCCUGCUGAAUGUAAGAGCUAUUUUUCCCCUACAACACUUGUUGACUACUGUCAGCUCUUAACCUUCACCCAGAGAAAUUAAUAGACCAAGUGGAAAUUUGUCAAGGCACUGCAUUGCCACGUACUCUAAAAUUGUGGGUUUCUGCCAUUUUUUGUAUUUUGAUGUAUGCUUUGUGAAAUCUCACACCAAAAGGGACAACGUCAAUUCUACACAUUCAAGAACAUUUCCUCACCUAUCGAUGUUCGUGCUCAGUGAACAAAUCCCCAUAAACUUGUCCUCGCACAUUAGAACUAAUUACUUAAAUAUAGUAGCUUUAUAACAAUGAAGUAAUUAGAAAAUUUAAAAACAAUUAAAGCACAUAGACAUCUUGGUACGUAAUUCCCACUGACAGGAUGAAAAAUAACAUCAUAGAUUUAAAAGCAUGCAGCUUUAAUAGCUAUAGCUUUACUACAGCCUUCAUCUACUGUGAAGCUUGAUUUUUACCCCCCUGGGAUCGAUAUAAUUCAUAGAUUCUUUCACAAGCCCAUACAGAAAAGUUUGUAUUUUUUCUUCAUUGGGAUUCAAUGAUGCUUCCACCAUUGUAAUGUUGGACAUGACUAAAGUAAGGAUUCAGUUUUAUCAAACAAGAAUUUCUUAUAACUGCCCUUUACUUAAAAGAAGCUAGACCAAGCUCAAGUAUUUUUAGAAUGCCUGAUUUUAUCUAAACGUCAUAUUUGGGCGUGUCAUUUUUAGCUUUAGGCUGCAUUUCAGUUCCCAGAACCCUAAAAAAAAAAUCUCCCUAACAACAAAACCACAAACUUUUGACAUUUUUCACCCAUACUUAAAAAGUCAGUUUGACAGGAAAGAUGUUUUCCAGUAAGGUCUGUAUUGUUGGAAAAUAAAUGCGAACAAGUAUUUAGUUCUACUUGGUGCUCUUUAGAAAUGGCAGUAUAAUCCCCUAAACUUCUGAAAACUUAUACAUGGGAAGCAAUCACUCCAAACAGCACCUAUUAACCCACUCCUUAGCUUGAGCAAGUUUCUGUGUCAAGAUGUCUCCCAAGAAACUGCAAAAAGCAAUCGCUUUUCAGCUCCCCACAUGUGUACCCUGCUUUUUUUAUUUCUUCUGAUUCUCUGGGGAUCUCACUGAUUUCUCCUGAGCUGUGUACAUACACGCACAUGUGUACUCAUACAUAUGUAUCUAUUCUGGCUGACUGCCUUUUUCUUUUAAAAAAAGUUUCUUUGACCAGUGCACAUGUUCUCUUCCUAGGCCAAAUCAAUUACUAUACUGGGCUACAGCAUGUUGGGCUCAGUGACUUCUCCCGAAGUUAGUUGCAUAUGAAUAUCACUGCACCUCACAGACACAGGUGAUGCUAGUUUCACACAAGUAGAGAGCAAUUCAACCCA